rnacentral:rRNA from 1 species
UACGUAGGGUGCGAGCGUUUGUCCGGAAUUAUUGGGCGUAAAGAGCUCGUAGGCGGUCUGUCGCGUCGGUCGUGAAAACUUGGGGCUUAACCCUGAGCUUGUGGUCGAUACGGGCAUGACUGGAGUUCGGUAGGGGAGACUGGAAUUCCUGGUGUAGCGGUGAAAUGCGCAGAUAUCAGGAGGAACACCAAUAGCGAAGGCAGCUCGCUGGGACGGUACUGACGCUAAGGCGCGAAAGCGUGGGGAGCGAAUAGG